GACGAACGCUGGCGGCGUGCCUAAUACAUGCAAGUAGAACGCUGAAGGAGGAGCUUGCUUCUCUGGAUGAGUUGCGAACGGGUGAGUAACGCGUAGGUAACCUGCCUGGUAGCGGGGGAUAACUAUUGGAAACGAUAGCUAAUACCGCAUAAUAGCAGUUAUUGCAUGAUAACUGUUUGAAAGGUGCAAUUGCACCACUACCAGAUGGACCUGCGUUGUAUUAGCUAGUUGGUGGGGUAACGGCUCACCAAGGCGACGAUACAUAGCCGACCUGAGAGGGUGAUCGGCCACACUGGGACUGAGACACGGCCCAGACUCCUGCGGGAGGCAGCAGUAGGGAAUCUUCCGCAAUGGGCGAAAGCCUGACGGAGCAACGCCGCGUGAGUGAAGAAGGAUUUCGGUUCGUAAAGCUCUGUUGUUAGGGAAGAAUGAUUGUGUAGUAACUAUACACAGUAGAGACGGUACCUAACCAGAAAGCCACGGCUAACUACGUGCCAGCAGCCGCGGUAAUACGUAGGUGGCAAGCGUUGUCCGGAAUUAUUGGGCGUAAAGCGCGCGCAGGUGGUUUAAUAAGUCUGAUGUGAAAGCCCACGGCUCAACCGUGGAGGGUCAUUGGAAACUGUUAAACUUGAGUGCAGGAGAGAAAAGUGGAAUUCCUAGUGUAGCGGUGAAAUGCGUAGAGAUUAGGAGGAACACCAGUGGCGAAGGCGGCUUUUUGGCCUGUAACUGACACUGAGGCGCGAAAGCGUGGGGAGCAAGCAGG
rnacentral:rRNA from 1 species